CAACGUGUCAAUACAUUUGUAUAUAAAAGGCAAGCGGAAGAUUUCACGCAUAUUUUGAACAAAGGAGAUUAUUUCAGAUCAUCCACACGAUAUCUUACACAGGUAUGGAUAGCAAGUUGUCAGUUGUCCUUCUUCUUCUCGGAACUGUUUGCUUCCUAAUGGAGAUCAAAGAAGCGGAAGCCGGUAUUAAGACCCAUCAUGGACCAGGACCAAACCAAGAACCAUGUGUGUCUGAAGGCAUCUCAUAUGCGUCUGGCGACACCUGGACCGAUAGCAAAGGAAGAUCGUGCAAGUGUUUUGCUCAUGGCUAUUUUGUUUGCAGAGAUGGAGACUAAAUAACUCUCUGACGUGAAAUAACCUACUCUGGUUGAUGAAUGUCAUCAAAAAAAAUCGAUUCCCUUUUGUUCAGUGCCAUGGAAUUUAUAAUCAAUAAAGCUGUUAUUUUUAUUCGC
rnacentral:lncRNA from 1 species